rnacentral:rRNA from 1 species
GAUGAACGCUCGCGGCAGGCUUAACACAUGCAAGUCGAGGGGCAGCGCGGGAUAGCAAUAUCCUGGCGGCGACCGGCGGAAGGGUGCGUAACGCGUGAGCGACAUGCCCGUUGCCCGGGGACAACCGGUGGAAACGCCGACUAGUCCCCGAUGGGAUAUUGUGCCGCAUGGCACGAUAUUGAAAGUUACGGCGGCGACGGAUUGGCUCGCGUCCGAUUAGCUUGUUGGCGGGGUAACGGCCCACCAAGGCUGCGAUCGGUAGGGGUUCUGAGAGGAAGGCCCCCCACAAUGGGACUGAGACACGGCCCAUACUCCUACGGGAGGCAGCAGUGAGGAAGAUUGGUCAAUGGGCGGAAGCCUGAACCAGCCAUGCCGCGUGCGGGAAGGAGGCCCUAUGGGCUGUGAACCGCUUUUGCCUGGGGGCAAUAAGGGCGUCGCGCACGUCCGAUGAGAGUACCAGGCGAAUAAGCAUCGGCUAACUCCGUG